rnacentral:rRNA from 1 species
GAAGUUAAGCAUCAUUGGGCGCGGUCAGUACUUGGGUGGGUGACUACCUGGGAACACUGCGUGCCGUU